GAAAGUAAACAUAGACUAAUAAGGACUCCUAGACUAAUACUAAUAGACUAAUACUAAUACUUCCUAACAGCGCCAACGUUUCAUAGCCUAAGGCGGUCAACAGGCAAAAGUGGACGAGGUCGCAAGCCAUAAGAAGGCCGAGACGGAGAAGAUGGCACAUCAGUAGAUGCAUCCACAACACACGAACGACGCGUAUAAAAGUGAGUCAAAUGUGGAAGAAUACGAGCAAGAAUCCUCGAGAUAAACUCAGGUUAUGGAGACAAGUCACCGGUGAUGAAAGUUUAGAAUCCCGUGAUAAGCGAAGUGAGGAAAUCAUAGGAGAUGAUGGUGCUGAAUCUUUAAUAAUUGGAGAAGCAGGAGCAGUACGAGGAAUGGAUUGGGGCUCAACGAUAGUGAUAGGAGUGUCGGGAAAAGUGAGGUAACACAUCCUCCACUGAAAAGGUCGGGGAUGAUGGUCACACGUAGAAGGGACUGGACUCACUAAAAGUCAUAACGUGAGAAAUAGUCACCAAUGACCAACAUGAUCCUAACAACAGGAUCUCUUAUGCUCAUUGUUGUAUCCUAUGAACACUCAACGAACUAGGUAGUAAGUUUGGUACAUUCACGAGAGGUAGUAAGGGCACAUCAAACACAACCAAACAAUUGAAGCGCUGAAUAAUAUGGAAACGAUCAAAUAGACUCUCGAAAGGAGAUGACCAUGGUGGAAGUGGAGACGCAUUCAACCCAAAAGUGUGGCGUAAGAGAGGCAGUGACCAUCCAACAGUAUGGCGGAAGAGAGAGAAGUGACAUUGAACCUACGAGCCGUCUCAAUAGUUGACGAUGCUUGCCCUUAGCCAUGCCAUUUCUGAGCAUGAGCAACAGGAUAAGAGAACUGAGCAAGAGCACCCUGCUCAACAAGGAUUGAACGCAACAUCUUGGAUAUUUAUUGUCCACCAGAGUCAUCACAGUAUACAAGAAUAGGCAUAGAGAACUUGGUGUGAACCAUGGAAGCAAAACGCUUACACGGAUAAGACCUCCCUACGAAAGGAAAUAAAGUAUAUCCAGGUGUGUUGAGAGAAGUCAUCUAUACAUAUAGUACUGGCGAUGACCUCCUUUCGAGGCGAAAGGAGAUGGACCCCAGACAUCAAAGUGAACAAGGUUGAAAGGAUGUUGAGACACUGUCUCGCUAUGAGCAUAAGGUAACUAUAGCUGUUUACCAAGCCGACAACCCAGACAGUUUAGAGAUAUCGUCGGAGACUGAUCCAAGAAGACCACAUCAAACUAAGGAUGCGAGAUGAGAGCCACACAAGUGACCCUAGGCGACGAUGGCACUUCUAAGCAUAACUGGUAGACAAGGUAAAAGAGGUGGAGAGACUAGCGGCUGUAGCAGCAGAGUCACUUGAUCCAGCAUCCUACGUGCCUCUGCGCUCUCCGUUACCCGCCAAUCCGACUUGGUGUGCUUCUCCUGUUUGCGGGUUGUGUGCCACACACUUGAUUAAGCACCCCACGUUCUCCUACAGUGCGCCCUUGACCCUGGCUUUAGGUAGUGCCGUGUCCUCGGCUUGCCGUGCAUAAUCCAGGUAUGCGCCGCCUGUCCGAGCUCCUGCUCACCAUUGGUGUUGCUCGAGCGUGGGUUCUGGUGUCGCCCAUAAAGGGAACACAGGAUGUGGGAUUGAGACAGUUCACAUAGCAACCCGCAGCAAGGCAAAGGAUGCCCAUCCAAUUGGCAGGGAGCGGAGGUGGACCCAAAAAGGUGGAUGUUGACUCCAUAGGAGUCUCAAUAGUACGCUCGUCAGUAAGAGUAGCAGGAGCAAGGACAUCCUGGAUAUACUUCUCUUAGCAAAUAAAAAUGAAGCAACAUGUUAGUUUCUUUGGGCAAGUAAGAGGAUCCUGCUGUUUACCAAGCAGCAUGUUAACAAAUAAGAGGAUCCACCUAGCGAUGACCUCCUUCCGAGGCGAAAGGAGAUGGACCCCAGACAUCAAAGUGAACAAGGUUGAAAGGAUGUUGAGACACUGUCUUGCUAUGACUAUAAGGUAACUAUAGCUGUUUACCAAGCCGACAACCCAGACGAUUUAGAGACAUCUUCGGAGACUGAUCCAAGAAGACCACGUCAAACUAAGGAUGCGAGAUGAGAGCCACACAAGUGGCCCCAGGUGAUGAUGCCACUUCUAAACAUAACUGGUAGACAAGGUAACAGAGGUGCAAUCUACUCAUGUUAACAGAUGAAGCAGCUACUUGGUAACUAAUUUUUUUGUAGGAACAAUCAACUCAUGUCAUGCAAAACAGUACGCACAUACGUGCAAUUUGAUCUAUGUACACAUGUUGCUGGUUAACACAGAGUACAGAAGUGGUUCAACAGCUACCAACAGAGGGCGUGAUUCAUGUUAAUUAACUGAACAAUGCUCGUGCUGAUAUGAAGCUAAGUUUUGGGAGAUUGUGAGGUCUAGGAGAAUCCGAUGCUGACAGGGAAUAUGCACCACCCAGAAUCAUACGAUUUGGACUGUUUGCCUUAAUUAGUUACGAAGGAAUUAUUAAGGAAGUGUGUUUGUGCAAGAAUAUGUAACAGGUGAGGCAAGGGUGUAAUAGAGAAUAUGAAGCAGGAGUUGGUCUUGCUGCUGCUGAAGGAAAAAGUCUAUGUGUAUGGGGAGGAGGUGAAGGCGUCGACACAGGAGCUUGCCAUAGCUGCUAGCCGGCUCCGGGAAUCCCUCCUGCCAGAAGCACAACACCAUGUCCUAGAGUAUGUUCACGAACUUCUAUCUGCCUAAUGCAUGUAAGCAGGGAUUGAUCCAUGCAUGUAUGUGAUUGAUUUUUUUGACAAUAUGUGAUUGAUUAAUUAACUAAAACUUGAGAGGGUAAAAGGACAAGUGUUUUCAAAUGGAGGAAUAUACUAUACGUGCAGCUAAUUACACGCAUAUAUGCAUCAUUCCGCAAUAGUUGAAAGUUUGGAUAUUAGGUAUAUGUCAAAGACCAGGAUCCUAAUUGGUGAUUCAGAUAUCAUAUUUUUCACUGUACAUAUCUCAUGAACAUUAUGCUCUGUACCAGAAUUGUCACCGUAUCUCAUCAUUGUUCUGGAUUAUAUAUUUGCAGCUCCAUAGAGUUAUUAGAAUAGUUUUACUUGCACAUAAUAGGCUUGUUCAAAUUAAAUCACAAGAACUUCAUGAACUUGCUUGGUUACUAUGGAGAAGGGCCUUCUUUCAAGGAGUUGUAGAUUUUUUGAAUAUGCUCCCGGUUGGACACUUUUUCCAGUAUGUACAGAAUAGGGGCAGGUAAGAGUGCAACUUAGUUUUUGGCUCAGGCCUCACUAGCAAUUAUGUCAUCCUCUUAUUUGGUUGCAGGUUACUUGCCUUCUUCUUUCAACCCAUCUCAAGAAUUAUAGUGCAGUUUCUGUGGGGCAGGUUAAAGAGCCCAUGUUAUUUUUUUUAAUAUUCCCGAGUAGUCCUUUAUUAUUUAUCAACUGAGGCAUGAUUGCUGUGUGCACUUCUGACCGAAGAUGAUCCUGUUGUUAUUUGCUUUCAGAAAAGAAAGAGACGGCUCCAUGUGCGCUUCUUUGCAUUACAUCAAAUGGAAUAAUCAAAUAGGGUUAUAUAUCAUCAUAUCUGUAUACAUAAUAUUUUCUAUAUAAUUAUUUACCGGUGUAGGCUCCUGUUGUUAGAUGGUGAGCUUAUGUUAUUUUAUGCCAUGUAGUUAAAUUUAUGUGCACCUUCUCAAGUGUUUGCUUGUUUCUGCUUUUAUAGUAUGGCUUGGUAGACCGAGGCCCUUUUGUGGAAAAAGUUCCUGAUAUGUUCGACCAUGCCGCUUUUUUCUUAAUUCGAUGACCUAUUAAUGUGUUUUGAGCAUGAGGCAAUUGUUUUCUCAAAUAUAGUUACUCUAUUUUAGAUUAGUAGUAAUCCUUCUCUAUGUGACAUACUUGCUUGGUUACUAUGGAGAAGUGCCUUCUUUCAAGGAGUUAUAGAUUUUUUGAAUAUGCUCCUGGUUGGACACUUUUUCCAGUAUGUACAGAAUAGGGGCAGGUAAGAGUGCAACUUAGUUUUCGGGUCAGGCCUCACUAGCAAUUAUGCCAUCCUCUUAUUUGGUUGCAGGUUACUUGCCUUCUUCUUUCAACCCAUCUCAAGAAUUAUAGUGCAGUUUCUGUGGGGCAGGUUAAAGAGCCCAUGUUUUUUUUUUAAUAUCCCCGAGUACUCCUUUAUUAUUUAUCAACUGAUGCAUGAUUGCUGUGUGCACUUCUGACCGAAGAUGAUCCUGUUAUUUGUUUUCAGAAAAGAAAGAGACGGCUCCAUGUGCGCUUCUUAGCAUUACCUCAAAUGGAAUAAUCAAAUAGGGUUAUAUAUCAUCAUAUCUGUAUACAUAAUAUUUUCUGUAUAAUUAUUUACCGGUGUAGGCCCCUGUUGUUAGAUGGUGAGCUUAUGUUAUUUUAUGCCAUGUAGUUAAAUUUAUGUGCACCUUCUCAAGUGUUUGCUUGUUUCUGCUUUUAUAGUAUGGCUUGGUAGACCGAGGCCCUUUUGUGGAAAAAGAUCCUGAUAUGUUCGACCAUGCUGCUUUUUUCUUAAUUCGUUAACCUAUUAACUAAAAAGCACGGACACGGCCAGCAUCGCCGAAUCCCCGUUCUGACACGGCUGGACACGGUGGAACGGCUGGACACGGCCAAAUUCGCGCAUCCCCCCGUAUUCAUGAUUUGCGAUUUAAAAAAAAAGAAAAAAUGGCCCGACACGUUGGGAACACGCUGGGGACACGCUGGGGACACGUCUGGUGGCCCGAGUUGGCUCGGCCCAGCCUUUUUUUCAGGUCGCAUCGACGGGCACAUAAAACACCACCUCCUCGUCUCCUCGCGACCAGCUUUGACGAUAGGGUUUCCCCCGUUCUGGAGUCUCAGCCGCCGCCGCCAGCUCCAGCAGUCGCCGCCACCACCUCCUGGAAUCGCCGCCGAGCCGCCGUCGCCGUCGCCACGUAUGGAGUCGCCGCCAGCGCCUGGAUCUGAACGCCGCCGUCCCCGAACUGCAGCAGCCUCUCCUCCCAACGGCGACCAAGCUGGAACAGGGAACAUUGCAUCUGGGAGCCAAUCAUCAGUGGGUGAGAGUGAGUGAGGGCAACAUGGACCUGGUGGGGUGGAUCCAAAAUAUCCUCUCUGGGCUUAUGUUCAGAGAGUUGUCAAUGAAACCGGUGCUUCUUCGUCCGGUAGCCGUGGAGGAAACAUCAAAUUCAAGUGCAAUUUCUGCCUCAAAACUUAUCCACGCACCUAUUCAAGAGUGAAGGCUCAUCUGCUUCAGAUAAAAAAAAGGAUAUAGCAACUUGUGACAAAAUUUCACAGCCUGCAUUUGAACAACUUUGCAAGCAGGAUAGGGCAGCCAAUGAACUCAUUGAACAUGGUAUAGGUAGGCAUACACUUCCAUUGCCUCCCUAUGUGGAAUCUGGUUCAUCAAGAAAGAGAAAGCAAACAGGAACAGCCAUUGGAGAUAGUUUUAAUGCCGAGGUCCGACAGCAAGCGGAUGCUCAUAUUGCUAGGAUGUUUUUCACUGCAGGACUUCCAUUCAACCUUGCAAGGAACCCUAACUUCCGGGCAGCCAUUUGAACUAUGUUCCUACCAUUUAUGUAAUGCACUCUUAAAUUUUUAGACUAAGGCCAUUUGAACUAUCUGUUAUGUGGCCACCUGAGCCUUGUAAGCUCCUAUCCGUUAUGCUUUUAGUCAAUUUGUCAUGGUUUGGUUGUGUUUUGCUGUUUGUCAAGUACCAUUUCAGAUUAUUAUGAUCUAUCUCUCUCUCUAAUACUAAUAGACUGCUGUUUGUUGUGUUUUGCAAGAUGCAAUGACAUGGAUUUGGUUUGGAUGGUCAAUCAAUCACUUGAAUUGAAAUAGGAGACAACAGACAACAAAUGGGGCAGUAUUUCUUUCUCUUUUCUGUCUUUAACUGUAUAUUACAUGUACAUUUAUAUUUAUUUUUUAUAUAUACUUGCCGUGUCCCCGAUGGGCUGUUUUUGGAAAAAGCCGUAUCCCGUGUCCCCAUAUGCGUGUCGCCGUGUCCGUGUCGCCGUGUCGGUGCUUUUUAGCCUAUUAAUGUGUUUUGAGCAUGAGGCAAUUGUUUUCUCAAAUAUAGUUACUCUAUUUUAGAUUAGUAGUAAUCCUUCUCUAUGUUUCUGCAAUUUCAAUUCCUGAUGUUUUCUGCACAUCCCUCUUGUUAUAGUCAGCAAGACAAGAAGAACAUACUUGUGUAUGAGUUCAUGCACAACGAAAAGGAGCGCCUUAGCUGAUGUUAAAUUUUCUGUGUGGAAUCAACAGCAUGCUGUUGUAUAUACACCUAUUUGGAUCUUUAGAACUGCAGGGUAUGCUUAGUUUUUAUAUUUGCUGAUUCAGGUUGUCUUAGCCUGCAGCACUCCGUCUAGGCUACUGCGUAGCCCAUUUCCUUUGAAGAGGGUACAUCCAAAUGAAAGCUUGGAAUUACCUAAUAGGUGCAUACAUGAACUAUUGAUGGUGUGAAUAGAAAUACCGGCAAUGGCACAGAUGCUUGGCGACCUUCAUGUCGUGCCUCCAAGGCAGGCCACGAGCGAUGGCCCCCGUGAGGUCAGCCUUGCAAGGAAAUAGGGCAAGUCCGCUGCCAAUUAUGCAAGAUACACAUAGUUUGCGUUUGUUGUUUACAGGUGUUGAUAAUAUGGUGAGUGGUUGAAGAGGAACUGGGGAAGCAUGAGGAGAAGGGCAGUCCAGAGGGUGAAAUGAGCAUGUGACUUGUACAGAAUGAACAAAUUUUCUUUUAAAUGAUUUGAGUGUAUGCUGAUAUGUGAAAGUCAAUCAUAUGAAUUCCCAAUUA